rnacentral:tRNA from 1 species
GGCUGGUUAGCUCAAUCAGUUAGAGCCUGGUGCUGAUAAUACCAAGGUCGCGGGUUCGAUCCCUGUUCACUCCC